GCAUGCCGGGUGGUAAGUGUACAUCCGCGAUAAAUUCACUUACAAUUAUAAUUGGCGAGUCUAACUACGCUAUGGCAGCAUAAUCUCGAAUUAAUAUAGAGUUUAUUUAGGGUUGAGCCACAUAGGUUCCCCCUGUCACAUCCUACCAUGUCUCCGUCCUUUAGACAGGAAUAUAGGGUGUCGAAAUUUAGGAAUAGCUUAGGGUAGUGUCGUGGACACUAAGUGAAAUAAAACGACUGACUUUUGGAGUGGGCUGUUAUUCGCCAGCUUCAUUAGCGAGAAUUAAUGAAUAACUAAGCAUGUAGAAGGUUUAUGGUUUCCUUAGCUGGACGAGGGUUCGAAUC
rnacentral:tmRNA from 14 species